GCCUACGGCCAUACCAUCCUGAACGCACCCGAUCUCAUCUGAUCUCAGAAGCUAAGCAGGUUGGGCCUGGUUAGUCCUUGGAUGGGAGGAAGGUGCAGCCAUAGCAAAUAACUGCUACUUUAGGAC
rnacentral:rRNA from 1 species